rnacentral:rRNA from 1 species
CCUACGGGAGGCAGCAGUAAGGAAUAUUGGUCAAUGGACGCAAGUCUGAACCAGCCAUGCCGCGUGAAGGAUUAAGGUCCUCUGGAUUGUAAACUUCUUUUAUUUGGGACGAAAAAGGGCCUUUCUAGGUCAACUGACGGUACCAGAUGAAUAAGCACCGGCUAACUCCGUGCCAGCAGCCGCGGUAAUACGGAGGGUGCAAGCGUUAUCCGGAUUCACUGGGUUUAAAGGGUGCGUAGGCGGGUAGGUAAGUCAGUGGUGAAAUCCUGGAGCUCAACUCCAGAACUGCCAUUGAUACUAUUUAUCUUGAAUAUUGUGGAGGUAAGCGGAAUAUGUCAUGUAGCGGUGAAAUGCUUAGAUAUGACAUAGAACACCUAUUGCGAAGGCAGCUUACUACGCAUAUAUUGACGCUGAGGCACGAAAGCGUGGGGAUCAAAACAGGAUUAGAUACCCUGGUAGUCCACGCCCUAAACUAUAUAUUACUACGACAUUAGUUAGUAUACACAAUAAGUAGUGUGUAGACGAAGACAAUUAAGUAAUACCACCUACGGAGUACGUCCGCGAGAGUAGAACGUACAACUAAGUAAGUUAGUACGGACGUAGAGACGUUAGACGACGGACGACGACGAGGGAGGAGG